CUUACCUUUUGGCUCCCAGAUAGAGUGACGUCUUCGAGGGAUGCGUAGGCAUGCUCAGUGUAUUCCAUUAUUUCCUUUCACAUCCUAUAUGAGCACUGCCUCUCCCUAAUACUCAGUCUUUCCUUAUCCGUGAGGCCAGAAAUGUAAAUCCCUAUGCAACAGAGUGCAAAGAGUGAGUUUGAAGGAUGGUUUCUAUUUAUUUAAAUGUACAGGCUAUAAACACCGCCCUCCUACACUAUGUUUUGGGUUCUUGCAUGUAUUUCCAUACAGUAAAUAUCUUGACAGUUCCCUCUGCUCGACCUCAGUGAUAUACGCACAUCCCUGGAAGAACAAAUACAUCAACAGUCUGCUAAUCUUCACAAGUAAUAACAUAGAUUUUUCUUCUCUCUCUUCACUUUAUUUAACUACAGUUGGGGAGAAAAGACGUAGUUGGCCACCUGCUCCAAACCAGUUGUUGUAGCCCAGGAAUAUGCCCAGUUUCUGAGCUGAGGACCCUUCCGAGAUGUGCACUUUGCCAAUGAGAGUUUGAGCCCAGUUUUUGUACAGCUGUUGGCAAACCUCUCCUUGCAGUGGAAGAAGCCGAUUGUUCAUGUUUGGAAGAUGCUUCAGAUGUCUUCUGUCACACAACAAACACAUGCAAGAAGAACUUGCUCAAGUUGGAUAGGCUGCAACACAAGACCAAGGUCUCAUUCCCAGGAAAGGGAAGACUUGGUUUACAGGAGGGUGCAAGGUCUCCAUAGACAGAAGAACACCAGGGUUAAAGAGGCAUUUUGAAGAGGAGAAAAAGCAACAGAUCAGUACCAGGUCUUGUCUCUGUGGCUGCAAACCAGACAACCUGAAGGCAAUAGUGGUGGCCAGAAGAAGUUUUGAAUUUGGAGAAGUCGGGCUGGAGUGGGGAGUGGAGGACAUACUCCUGGCAUCAAAAUGUCUCCUUGUAUCUCUGAUGGGUCAUAUGAAAAUGUUCUGUAUUUGGGUAACACUUGGUUGGUUGCACAACACACUGUACUUAUCAAUGGUGAUAUUCACAGAUGUAAUUGCACACAGUGAUUAUGGAUUUAGGGGGCCUGUUCACUCUGCUCCCACCUCCCUUCAUAUCUGUGAAUGCCAUAAAAAUUCACAGAAAGGCUUUUCUGAAAGCACUAGCCUGGAAAAGGAAUAAUGCAGCUCCUCUGUGGACAGCACAAGAAGCCAUGAGCUAUCUUCAAAAACACUGUCAAAAUCAAAACUUUCCCAUCACUUCCAGUCCACAAGCUGGUCUCUUUUUUCUCCCCAUGUGUAUGAACACAUAACCAUGGUUGUGAGCUCUCUUUCCAAACAACUCCUCCCUCUACUCACCCCCUUUUCUUCUGCCCUGUCCACAUGCACAUGUUCUGGCUCUUUUCUGCUCACGGACAGACUGACUGCUCUUGCACACCCACAGGUGGAAAACAAAGUGGAAACCCAGGGCCAGCAAGGCUUCUCCAUGCCCAGCCAGCUGCUGUCUCCCACAGGAGACUCAGGGAAGAAGCUCCUGCCAACCCACAGCUCCUCCUAGCUAUCAGGGUACCAUUGACUCCUUGGCUGUGGACUCACCCACUGCAGUCCUGUCACUCCCCAGCAGCUCUGCAGGGCUGGAGCAGGUCACCACGUGCCUUCAGAGGGCUGUGAAUGUGACUGUGUGCUCCUGGUGACUCACUAGGAGGUCACCAAAUGAACCAGAUCCUGAGCACUGAGAAACUCUGCCAGCCUUGUGUGAAUGGGAGAAAAAGGAGGAAGGAAGUUCUGUUGUUGCAUUUUUUCAUGGUGAGCGGUGCUGAGUCAAAAAAAGGGCUCCAGGAUUAGAGGGGGGAACAGCUAAAAUCAUUAGAGAAAUAGAAUUUAAAAAGGAUAAGCCAGCUGGAUGGGAGUGGGAGCCCAAAAGAUACCGUAUUCUUCUCACUGUAGAUGAUGGUUGUGAGAAAAAUCAGAGAAGGGAGUGACAAGUGGGUGGUGAUAGUCUUCACUGCUAGAGUAUGACCUGCAUUUUUUCUCAUCCUGGCCUCUCACUAAUCCAACCAACUAUUCCCUGAGGGAAGACAGAGGAAGAAGGCAACAUUGGGCAGGUCCAGUUGAGUCUGCUCUCCCUAAGGAAUGCCUCUGGAGCAACGAGGUUCUCAAUCAUUUGUACUGACAUGGAGCUGGUGGACACCACAAAGGGCCAAGGUGCUGACCAGGGUGUUCCCCACAUUAAGCAGAGCUAAAGCUCAGACAGACUGCAAGCUUGGGUGAACUCUUAGCCCUUUGCCAAGGUAAAGUUGCCAGGUUUUACACACUAGAACUAAGGAAAAAUAACUCUAGUAAAGCAUGUUUGCACUUCUAAUAGUGUAGGCUAACUACUUUACUGGAGAAGUGAGCAGCUGUUCCAAAAGUACCAGAAAAUUCCUGGCUACAUGGUUUUUUACAUAGGAUGCAGGACAUGCUCCUUUAUUUAGGAUGUUCACCAGUUCCAGUAAUACACCAAAUAUAUGCCCAGAAAUUAGUUUCUGAGAUAUUUACAUUUUAGGCAAGAAUCCUUUCAAAAUAUUUCCUCAGGCAACCAGCAGUGUAGGGCUGAAGAGUUUAUCUUGGUAAAUUCUGACUGAUUUAAAAGGAAAAAGAUUGUGGGGAUCAGCUCAUUAGCAGUUGUAAACUGGCACUGGUCCAGCAACCUAAGUAAACUUCUAAGUUCAUAAACUGGCUGGAGAGAGUCUGGUCCUAUUCUGCAACUAUUUAAUCCCUUAGUAUGGCAAUGGUUUUACCCCACUGUACUGGCAAGAACUAGCAUGGUUUGAAUGAAGAAAUACUUCAUGUUUUUCAGCUCUCUCUUUUUGUCAAGCUGCUGAAGUCCAAACACUGCUUGUGAUCCUCUGUAUGGUCAGUGCAUGACACCUACUAGAAUGGAUUUCUCAAGCUGAUAGAUGAGACUGAUGUAGGAAUGUUAAUUUUUGUGUCUACACCAAUUAAAUAAAUGUCCUGCUUCUGGGCAAUGGCUUGGCCUAUGUACAUUUUCUAUGGCUAUUAUUUUCUGCACAUUUUCCAAAUCUAUUAAUAUGGUGGAAACUAUGUAAGAUCUUUAAUGCCAAAUGUUUUGCUUAGGCUGUGUUUCCUCCAGUUGACCAGGAAAGAAAAAGUGGGAUAAAGAGCUGCUAGUAAAACAAUUUCCAGGAUUGCCUGUUUUCCUUGCUUGUAAAAAGGUUCACUUCAAUUUAAUGUUAGUUACUAAUGAAUGCACAGCAUAGAAGACUAGUGCCUUGAUUUAUACUCCCUUGAGAUAUACUUUUGGCAAUUGUCCAAAAUGCUUUUUUUCCUUAGGGUUUCAUUGAUUAGCAAGGAUGCAAAUUAGUAAAAGAAGUAAAUUGAUAUUGAGAAGUCAGAAAUGCUACAUUUGGUGUCUUCAGUUUGUACAUGCAAAUUUGUAUUCCUGAGAUUCAUCAUCCUUUUGAAAGCCAGCCUUGCUAAGUCUGUAUUUAUUAAUGUUAAUUAUAGAGGCAAAGCUCAUGCCUUUAAAGCCUGAUGUGAUUUUGGUGUUUUAAAAACCAUUUAAUUAUUUUUGAAGAAUGUAAAACAACCCUCCAAAAUCUGCAGCACUUGUUAUGUACAGAAUAAAUCCUCUGAAAAUUGG